ACGUCCGUAGCUCAGCUCGUAGAGCAUCAAAUCCAGAAAUUAUUCUAAAUUUGAGGUGUCUGUUCAAGUCAGGCCGGAUGUA